rnacentral:tRNA from 1 species
AGCUCAGUGGUAGAGUGCGUGCUCAGCAUGCAUGAGGUCCUGGGUUCAAUCCCCAG